GGGGCUGUGGCUCAGUGGAAGAGCCUCUGUUUUGCAUGCAGAAGGCCUCAGGUUCAAUCCCUGACAUCUCCA